GAUGAAGAACGCAGCGAAAUGCGAUAAGUAAUGUGAAUUGCAGAAUUCAGUGAAUCAUCGAAUCUUUGAACGCACAUUGCGCCCGCUAGUAUUCUGGCGGGCAUGCCUGUUCGAGCGUCAUUUCAACCAUCAAGCCCCCGGCUUGUGUUGGGGACCUGCGGCUGCCGCAGGCCCUGAAAACCAGUGGCGGGCUCGCUAGUCACUCCGAGCGUAGUAAUACAUCUCGCUCAGGGCGUGCUGCGGGUUCCGGCCGUUAAAAGCCUUAUUUUACCCAAGGUUGACCUCGGAUCAGGUAGGAAGACCCGCUGAACUUAAGCAUAUCAAUAAGCGGAGGA
rnacentral:misc_RNA from 1 species